AUCUUCUAAGUAUAAACGUACAAAUGACUUCCACUCAUUAGGCCUUAGUAAAAAUACUAAGAGAAGAUA